rnacentral:tmRNA from 1 species
CCCCUCGCAAUCCGCGGCGUGGCGGCUUAUAUCCCUCCUGCUCACCUUCGGGUGGCUAUGGCGAUAAACGGCAUGUGGAAUAAGCGUUGCGGACCCGGGGGCAGUGCCCGGCGUCUCCACCAGCUUCAGGCACCUGGGAUCGUCGGGUGUGCUUCUGGGGACGAAACAGGCUCGACGCGCGUGGUAAAGCCAUGUCUUUUGCCCGGCAUUGUACCGCCGUUAUCGGGCUAUAUCACAAGUGCCAACGAUAACAGCCGCGAGGCUGUGGCGCUCGCUGCCUAACAAUAGGUAAGCGCGGUCCGGGGGGAACCGGGCAACAGAAUCCCCCCACC